rnacentral:sRNA from 1 species
UCGCCAAUGGCCGCCGCAUGCGGCGCGAAA